GCAGAGGUUGUUCAGUGGUAGAAUUCUCGCCUUCCAUGCAGGAGACCUGGGUUCAAUUCCCAUCCAAGGCA
rnacentral:tRNA from 1 species